CACGGCGUGUACAAAGCAGAAAUUACAUUGUUACAUCAUAUGCAGGAAGUUGGGACUGUGAGAAACUCAUUGAGAUUUUUUUCUGCAGCGUUAACUCUUUAACCCCUUAAGGACACAUGACGUGUGACAUGUCAUGAUUCCCUUUUAUUCCAGAAGUUUGGUCCUUAAUGUGUUAAAUGUACACUCAAUUGAAAACAAUUUUUUU